GAUUGUAAAGCGGGCCUAGAAUCAUGUCAAGACACGGUCGAAACGGAGGAGACGCUAAGGUUUACGUCGGUAACCUUGGCACUGGUGCAGGGAAAGGAGAGCUAGAGCGGGCGUUUGGGUAUUACGGACCCUUGAGAACAGUGUGGAUUGCUAGGAACCCCCCAGGGUUUGCCUUUGUGGAGUUUGAAGACACCCGGGAUGCAGAAGAUGCGGUCCGUGGCCUUGACGGCAAGUUAAUUUCUGGAUCUCGAGUUCGAGUUGAAUUAUCUACAGGGAUGCCGCGGCGAUCUCGGUACGAGCGUGCGCCCACCAACCGGCCCUUUGACUCCAACGACAAGUGCUAUGAGUGUGGUGAGCGGGGGCACUAUGCCUAUGACUGCCACCGCUACAGUCGACGCAGGAGGAGCAGGUAUGCCUCCUUAACCAAUGCAUCAGAUUUGGGUCUUUUUUCUUAUUUUGGUAGUUGUCGCUUAUUUUUCAUUGUCUUGAUUUUUCAGUGUCUUAUGUAGAUAAAAAAAAAGUAAAGAUGAUUAUUAUACAAUCUUGACAAACUGCCUCUGUGUCUAGGCUACCUGUUGUUGUUGCUACUUUUGUCUCCGCUUGUCACUUAAUCCCUUUUAAAAUAUGGAAAUACUUCUGAACUGUUAUGUGGGAAUCUUUUUGUUAACAACUCACCUGGUCAAAACAUUUCAGGUUUCGUCGUUUGAUUCAGAGUGUCACGAUCCUUAACGAUUUCAUGAGGCAUCUAGCAAAUUCCACACUUUUGAUCCUUCUAUGACCAUGGGGUUGAUCGAUCAGCCAGACCUCCCCUUCUCAAGCAACUGCCACAUCUAGCUGCACCUUAAAGAUUUCAUAGAGGGCUGACAAUGCACCAGAUGAUUUGGUUUUCAAUUUGGGCCUUUGGUUUUGUAAAGAGGACAACCUGGUAGACCAUGGUCCCGUCUAGAAAAAUCGCCUUGCAUCUAUCAAGUCUCAAUCAAGCGAUUUGGCUGUCAAUACGACCAUCAUCGUUAGAAAUCGAAGAACACGACUAGAUGCAGAGGUCGGCUGAUAGAUACUUCUAGAUCGCCUAGAUCUGCUCGAACCUUGGUCCAAAGUGGGUCAACCGGGCAAUCUUGCAAGGUCCCGGUCUCACUCCAGGUCCGGUGGGAGGAGGUACUCUCGCUCUCGCAGCCGGGACCGUGGCAGGAGAUCAAGAUCCUUCUCUCCACGCCGCUCUCGUUCUCCUAGAAGAUCGAGAGCCCUUGCCCCCAAGAGAUCAAGAUCUCGGUCAAAGUCCAGAUCAAGGUCUAGGUCACUUUCUCGUGCAAAGACCAGGUCUGGAUCCCCCACGAGGAGCCACUCUACCUCGAGGAGUCCUCGUCGAAGUGACAGCUCGGAGAGAGACGACUGAACUUUGAAGUUUUUGUUUCUUUAUGUAAGCAUCUCUAGUGACUAAGUUCUUUGUUAACCCAUUGUAUUAUUUGAAAAUAUGUAGCUUGUUAAUUUCCUCUUCAGGCAUAUUACUGACAUUUCAAAAAGAAGCAAUUGGGACCCAGUUUGGAAUGCGUUUGUUUUAGAAAUAGUUGUUGGUUAAUAAAGUAUAUUUGAUUUAAAACUGUUUGGUGGUGUGUUGUCCAUCUGGGCACAGUUGGUCUGUAUAUAGCACAACUCAAUGAAAUGGUUGAUAAAUAAAAGGUUUUUGAUUGAG